CCUACGGGGGGCAGCAGUGGGGAAUAUUGGACAAUGGGGGGAACCCUGAUCCAGCCAUGCCGCGUGUGUGAAGAAGGCCCUCGGGUUGUAAAGCACUUUCAGUGAGGAAGAACGCCUGGUGGUUAAUACCCAUCAGGAAAGACAUCACUCACAGAAGAAGCACCGGCUAACUCCGUACCAGCAGCCGCGGUAAUACGGAGGGUGCGAGCGUUAAUCGGAAUUACUGGGCGUAAAGCGCGCGUAGGUGGCUUGAUAAGCCGGUUGUGAAAGCCCCGGGCUCAACCUGGGAACGGCAUCCGGAACUGUCAAGCUAGAGUGCAGGAGAGGAAGGUAGAAUUCCCGGUGUAGCGGUUAAAUGCGUAGAGAUCGGGAGGAAUACCAGUGGCGAAGGCGGCCUUCUGGACUGACACUGACACUGAGGUGCGAAAGCGUGGGUAGCAAACAGGAUUAGAUACCCGAGUAGUC
rnacentral:rRNA from 1 species